rnacentral:rRNA from 1 species
AACGAACGCUGGCGGCAGGCUUAACACAUGCAAGUCGAACGGGUGUAGCAAUACAUCAGUGGCAGACGGGUGAGUAACACGUGGGAACCUUCCUAGGGGUACGGAACAACUCAGGGAAACUUGAGCUAAUACCGUAUACGUCCGUGAGGAGAAAGAUUUAUCGCCCUUAGACGGGCCCGCGUCGGAUUAGCUCGUUGGUGGGGUAACGGCCUACCAAGGCGACGAUCCGUAGCUGAUCUUAGAGGAUGAUCAGCCACACUGGGACAGAGACACGGCCCAGACUCCUACGGGAGGCAGCAGUGGGGAAUCUUGGACACUGGGCGCAAGCCUGAUCCAGCCAUGCCGCGUGAGUGAAGAAGGUCUUCGGAUUGUAAAGCUCUUUUACCAGGGACGAUAAUGACGGUACCUGGAGAAUAAGCCCCGGCAAACUUCGUGCCAGCCGCCGCGGUAAUAC